rnacentral:rRNA from 1 species
GUGUCAGCCGCCGCGGUAAUACGGAGGGUGCAAGCGUUAUCCGGAUUUAUUGGGUUUAAAGGGUGCGCAGGCGGGGCCUUAAGUCAGUGGUGAAAUCUCUUCGCUUAACGAAGAAACUGCCAUUGAUACUGAGGUUCUUGAAUCUAGUUGACGUUAGUGGAAUGUGUCAUGUAGCGGUGAAAUGCUUAGAUAUGACACAGAACACCGAUCGCGAAGGCAGCUAACGAAGCUAGUAUUGACGCUCAGGCACGACAGCAUGGGGAGCAAACAGGAUUAGAUACCCCCGUAGUCC